rnacentral:rRNA from 1 species
CCUACGGGAUGCAGCAGUAGGGAAUCUUCGGCAAUGGACGAAAGUCGGACCGAGCAACGCCGCGUGAGUGAAGAAGGUUUUCGGAUCGUAAAACUCUGUUGUUGGAGAAGAACAAGUAGGAGAGUAACUGCUCUUACCUUGACGGUAUCUAACCAGAAAGCCACGGCUAACUACGUGCCAGCAGCCGCGGUAAUACGUAGGUGGCAAGCGUUGUCCGGAUUUAUUGGGCGUAAAGCGAGCGCAGGCGGUCUUUUAAGUUUGAUGUGAAGGCCCUCGGCUCAACCGAGGAAGGUCAUUGGAAACUGGAGGACUUGAGUGCAGAAGAGGAGAGUGGAAUUCCAUGUGUAGCGGUGAAAUGCGUAGAUAUAUGGAGGAACACCAGUGGCGAAGGCGACUCUCUGAUCUGUAACUGACGCUGAAGCUCGAAAGCGUGGGGAGCAAACAGGAUUAGAUACCCCAGUAGUC